AUGGUGCCGCCGUGGCUGCCUGCCCAGGAUCCCGCUGCACUGCCGCCGCUCCGGCGCGACGCUGCCCCGUGGCCGCUUGCGCACUCCGCGGAACGCGCGCCGGCUGCUUGCGUCCGCCGUCUCUUGCUUCACCGGCGCUGCGGUGGAGUGAGCGCUGCCGUGGCCUCGGGCGUGGCUUCCUGGUACUUGGAGAGCAUGUCGAGCAGCAACAUCUUGUCGGCAUCGAUGUUGUCGAACGGGAGCAGUGGCGGCGUGGCCGGGGCUCGGUGGUGCCAGGUCGCCGAGUCGGCGGAGCUGGUGGAGAAGCCCGGCGAGGCGAGGCGAGGGCGAGUGCUGCUGCAGCAGCAGCUGCUCGGUGGUGUGUGGUCAUGGCAUGGCGGGUCAGAAAGUUAA
rnacentral:rRNA from 1 species